GAGACUACACCCUCAUGUGAUAGCUCAGUAAAUGGAAGAUUUGUCUAGAAACAGAUGGAGUCCAUCACGUGAGACGGGGUGAAUAAAUAAUUAUUUUUUCUUUAAACUGGAAAGGCACCAAAUGCUAAGAUAAGAAGAUGAUUCUCUCUGCUUUCUGCCUCAAAUGGGAAGACGUCUUCAUGGAACUUCACUGGGGCAGUGGUUCUCAAUGGUUCAGGACCUGCUUAUCUCCGUGAUCACCUCCUCCC
rnacentral:lncRNA from 11 species